UACAGAAUUAAUAUAAUCUUCUAAUUGCAGAAGCCUUGCACCUGUAAGAUGUAGGUAUGGGAAUAAAAAGUCCCAUUUUUGAAGUGAGACCAGACCAGUACACCCGGAGUUUAGCUGACCUUGAGAUUACCCUAACAGAUGAAGAAGUUAGAAUUAAAUGCUUGUAGCCUCUACACCACGGAGCACAUACCUUGCUAUUUAUUCUCCAAGGACUACUUAUUCUCCAAAUGCAUGAACAAGGUAACCUGUUAUCGAGCCCCAUCUGAAUCUGAACGAUUGUCCACGUGUGUGUUACAAACCCACGGCAAACGCAAGGAAGCAAUCCUGUUACAGCCUUUGAAAAAUGCCUGUGUCCCAUGCAAAGGCAAUAUCAAUUCUCUGCAUAGCUGGUCUGCUAAGGCACCUAACUAAGUAGCUCACCAAAAGUGCUCUACUUUCACCGUGGAGAUAAGCCAAAGUUUGCA
rnacentral:lncRNA from 1 species